ensembl:lncRNA
ACCAGUACAAUAGGCAUUUUCAACACACCUCCUACAUUAAUUAAUAGAUCAUGCAGAAGACAAAAUCAUGAUUAUUAAGGGCCUACAAGAUUUAAAUAGCACAGCUAAUAAAUUUGAUCUGAUGGAGAAUAGGAAAAUAAGCACUUUUUGCAAACCAAAUCUAACAUUGUAUUUAAAGUAUAACAUGAUGACCGAAUUGGGUUCAUCUCAGGAAUGCAAAUUGGUUAAUUUUUAGAAAUCAUUUGUGUCUCAACCAUUAACGGAUUAACAUUGUAUGAUCAGAUUAACUCUGAAAAUCCAAAAAAUCUACAAGGCAAAUUAAAAGGCUUAAGAGUUGAUCAAGGUUGCUGGAACUAAAUCAAUAUGCAAAUGUCAGUUACGUUUCCGUGCACCAGCUACAAGCUGUAAUGGUUUUAAGACUUUUUAAAUGUAAUUAAGAAUUUACAGUAGGAAUAAAAAAUAUAAAGCACUUAAGAAUAAAUCUUAAUAAAAGGCGUAUAAGCCUGUUAAUGAGAAAAUGAUACUAAAAAGCCUCCACCUUUAUUGACCUAAAUAAAUGGAGAGACUGUGAUGGAUAAGAUCAUCAUCUGGGUCUCAACCGUUUCUCCAGUUGGUUAAUAGAUUAAUGCAAUUUUAACAAAAAUUUCCAAUAGUUUUCAUUGUGGUACUUGACAAGGUGAUCCUAAAAUACACAUGGAAGGGCAAAGGGCCAAGGAUAUCCAAGAUGCUCCAAAAAAGAAUGCAGUGUGAGGGGAACUAGCACUACCAAAUUAUCAAACUUAUUGUAAAACAUAGUGAUUAAAACAAUGAAAUUGGUACGGAGAUUACAAGUAGAUGAACGGACAAGAAUAAAGAGCUCAGAAACUGACCCACUCGUGUACAGGAACUUAAUUUUUAAAAGGGCAGUUAUUGCAUAUCAGUGGGCAGGAAGAUGGGUUAUUUAGUAAAUGGGGCUUCAGUCAUUGUUCACAAAGGGGAAAAAUGAAUGUAGACCUCUGCCUUGCACCAGGCGCCAGUCAGUACCCAGGUGGAUUAAGGAUUUACAUAGGAAGGCUAAAACUAUAAAACUUUUAGAAGAUAAUAUAGAAGAAUUUUUUUAUGACUUUGGGGAAGUGAAGGAUUUUGUAAACAAGAUAGAAAGUGCAAACCAUUAAUUAUUAACAUAAAUGAUUUGGCUACAUUGAUAGUAUUUUUGUUUACUAAACAUGCCAUGGGGUGAGAAAAUAAGCCCAAACUGGAAUGAGAUACAGAUAAUCAGAAUAAAUUGAUAACUGUUAAAGAGCACCUGAAUGCAAGUCAGUAACAAAACAACUUGGGAGAGAAAUGGGCAAAACAGACAAGCAGGCAUUUCACAGAAGAAACAGAAAUGGCCCAUAAGCAUGAAAAGAUGCCCACCCUUAAUAAUCAGGACAUGCACAUUGAAACCAUAAAGAAAUACCACUUCCUAUCCACCAAAUUGGCAGCAACUAAAAAGUCACAAAUUACCAACAAUUGGAAAGAUUAUAACAACAGGAACUUUCAUCUGCUGCUGUUGGCAUGUAGGUUGGUACUACCACUUUGGAAAACAGUAUUAUCCAGUGAAGUUGAACACAGGUAUAUCUUCUACCUAUACCAGGAUUUAAGCUUAAAAGAGAAUUAUUAACAUUCAAGAUCAUGGUUUCCUUGGUGGGGUGGAGAGGAAUGAGAGCAGAGAGGUGCACAGGGGCUAUUUAUAAAAGCACUUGAUAAUAGGAACAUUUUGACCAUUGUAAACAUGUUGGUUCUUGAGUUAAUAUGUAAAUUCAGUGCAAAGCCAAUCCAAAUGCCAGAGUAUUUAUUUUUAAUACAUAUUAGGGGCUGGCUCCAGGGCCGAGUGGUUAAGUUUGCACGCUCCACUGCGGCAGCCCAGGGUUCAGAUCCUGGGCACAUUGAGUCGGCGUCGCACAUCCCACAACUAGAAGGACCUGCAACUAAGAUAUACAACUGUGUACGGGGGCAGGGUUGGGGAGAUAAAGCAGAGAAAAAUAAAAAGAAAAGAAAAAAGAUUGGCAACAGUUGUUAGCCCAGGUGCCAAUAAAAAAAAAUACGUAUUAAAAAUUCACAUGAAAUCAUAAACAGAUGAAAAUAGGAAAAUCUUCGUUGAAAGAAGGGGAAAAAAGGGAGGAACUUGCUAUACCAAAAAGCUUUUUUUUUUUUUCUUUUGAGGAAGAUUUCCCCUGAGCUAACAUCUGUGCCAAUCUUCCUCUAUUUUGUAUGUGGGUCUCUGCCACAGCAUGGCUGACAAGUGGUGUAGGUCUGUGCUCGGGAUCUGAACCUGCCAACCUGGGCUGUAGAAGUAGAGUACGCCGAACUUAAGCACUAUGCCACAGGGCUGGCCCCCCAAAAGUAAUUUUUUAAAAAGUGCAGUUAAAUUUUUACACUGGUAUAAAAAUAGACAAGUUAAUGGAAAACAGUUAAAAAAAAUAGAAAACCUCAAAUACUGUUAAGAAUUCAGAGUAUGUUAAAGGUGGCAUUUUGAAAUACCACCAUGAUGGAUUAUUCAGUGAAAGGUGCUGGUAUAACUGGAGAAAAUUAAGUUGAUUCCCAUAAUACCAUUCACCAAAAGAAACUGCAGAGACUAAAAAUUAUAAAAGAAUUAGUUAUAAAAAUUAGAAGACAAUAUAGUUAAUAUUUUCUUGGGAUCAGAGAAGUUUGUUCUAAGGAUAUAAACGAGGGCAUGAAAUAGAACCAUGUGUAAACCAGACAGUCCCCUGUCUGCACGCGACGGAGCACCACUCCCAGCAGGUGUACAUAGACAUAUAUAUUUUUUAAUUAAUGUUUAUGUAUUAUACUAAUACACGUAAGAAAAAAUAGAAGAAAGAUGAGGUGAAAAAUGUUUAAAAAUAUUUUGUGUGUAUUGUAAAAAUACCUUUUUGCUCUUUCUAAAAAAAUUUCUUUUAGUGAGAUAUAUGAUUAAAAAUGCUUCAUUAUUUUUGAAACUCCUAGUUUUAACACUUUAUAAUAAAAACUACUUAAUAUUUGGUUCUAAGGUAAGUUUAUUUUAAUGCUAGGUUUUAAUGGCUAUUGUAGCUGAAAAAGCUACUUGCUUAAGAUCUGUGGAUCCACAUGACUGCUUACUGAAAAACAACGCUCUUCAAUUCCAUCCUCUAGUCUUAAAAAAGUGUUUGUUGAAAUCUUUAUAAUAAAUUGCCGUCUUUCUCACUGUCGGUAACUUGUUCUCACGCAUUAAUUGCAAGUGUGGCAUUUUUAUUAUUGGUAACAAAUGGGUUCAAAACCUACUGAGACACAUUUUUGGAUUUCAUUUCCCAAGUUUUUGUGCACUUAUGAGAGUUUUUGUCGGUGACAAUUUUGGGCAACACUUUUUCAUAAAGCUGGAAGCAUGUCUAACCAUUUUCAAAAUGCUCUUCACAUGAAUUUCUUUUGGAAAAAUAGCUACUUUCUUACUCAUUGUUAGUAUAUCAUCUUUACCUUGAAAGGUCGGAUAAACUCUGUUUGGUUUUUUAAAAUACCUUUUAGAUUGCAUAUUACUGAUAAGUACUGUCACUACAAGAAAUGUUGGCAAAUUGCAAACAUUUGUCUUUUUAUCAAUAAAAAUAUGUAACAUGUUAAGUUUGACAAUACUUUUAAGAAUGUUACCAUGAGAUAACCAG